rnacentral:rRNA from 1 species
UACGUAGGGUCCGAGCGUUGUCCGGAAUUACUGGGCGUAAAGAGCUCGUAGGUGGUUUGUCGCGUUGUUCGUGAAAACUCACAGCUCAACUGUGGGCGUGCGGGCGAUACGGGCAGACUAGAGUACUGCAGGGGAGACUGGAAUUCCUGGUGUAGCGGUGGAAUGCGCCAGAUAUCGGGAGGAACAUCAGUGGCGAAGGCGGCCCUCUGGUCCAGUACUGACACUCAAGUGCGAAAGCGUGGGGAGCAAACAGG